AGGUUAAGCGACUAAGCGUACACGGUGGAUGCCCUGGCAGUCAGAGGCGAUGAAGGGCGUGCUAAUCUGCGAUAAGCGCCGGUAAGGUGAUAUGAACCGUUAUAACCGGCGAUACCCGAAUGGGGAAACCCAGUGUGAUUCGUCACACUAUCAUUAACUGAAUCCAUAGGUUAAUGAGGCGAACCGGGGGAACUGAAACAUCUAAGUACCCCGAGGAAAAGAAAUCAACCGAGAUUCCCCCAGUAGCGGCGAGCGAACGGGGAGGAGCCCAGAGCCUGAAUCAGCAUGUGUGUUAGUGGAAGCGUCUGGAAAGGUGCGCGAUACAGGGUGACAGCCCCGUACACAAAAGCGCAUGUGCUGUGAGCUCGAUGAGUAGGGCGGGACACGUGGUAUCCUGUCUGAAUAUGGGGGGACCAUCCUCCAAGGCUAAAUACUCCUGACUGACCGAUAGUGAACCAGUACCGUGAGGGAAAGGCGAAAAGAACCCCGGCGAGGGGAGUGAAAAAGAACCUGAAACCGUGUACGUACAAGCAGUGGGAGCACAGGUUUACCUGUGUGACUGCGUACCUUUUGUAUAAUGGGUCAGCGACUUAUAUUCUGUAGCAAGGUUAACCGUAUAGGGGAGCCGUAGGGAAACCGAGUCUUAACCGGGCGUUAAGUUGCAGGGUAUAGACCCGAAACCCGGUGAUCUAGCCAUGGGCAGGUUGAAGGUUGGGUAACACUAACUGGAGGACCGAACCGACUAAUGUUGAAAAAUUAGCGGAUGACCUGUGGCUGGGGGUGAAAGGCCAAUCAAACCGGGAGAUAGCUGGUUCUCCCCGAAAGCUAUUUAGGUAGCGCCUCGUGAAUUCAUCUCCGGGGGUAGAGCACUGUUUCGGCUAGGGGGCCAUCCCGGCUUACCAACCCGAUGCAAACUGCGAAUACCGGAGAAUGUUAUCACGGGAGACACACGGCGGGUGCUAACGUCCGUCGUGAAGAGGGAAACAACCCAGACCGCCAGCUAAGGUCCCAAAGUCAUGGUUAAGUGGGAAACGAUGUGGGAAGGCCCAGACAGCCAGGAUGUUGGCUUAGAAGCAGCCAUCAUUUAAAGAAAGCGUAAUAGCUCACUGGUCGAGUCGGCCUGCGCGGAAGAUGUAACGGGGCUAAACCAUGCACCGAAGCUGCGGCAGCGAACGUAUCACCCAAGACAACUUUACGGAGUUGACGAUUGACGGAGCGAAGCGACGUCAAAGCGUUCAUUAAAGUCGAGUUGGCUUAGGGAUACGUUCGUUGGGUAGGGGAGCGUUCUGUAAGCCUGUGAAGGUGUGUCGUGAGGCAUGCUGGAGGUAUCAGAAGUGCGAAUGCUGACAUAAGUAACGAUAAAGCGGGUGAAAAGCCCGCUCGCCGGAAGACCAAGGGUUCCUGUCCAACGUUAAUCGGGGCAGGGUGAGUCGACCCCUAAGGCGAGGCCGAAAGGCGUAGUCGAUGGGAAACGGGUUAAUAUUCCCGUACUUGGUGUUACUGCGAAGGGGGGACGGAGAAGGCUAUGUUGGCCGGGCGACGGUUGUCCCGGUUUAAGCGUGUAGGUGUGUGUUCCAGGUAAAUCCGGUUCACUUUAACACUGAGGCGUGACGACGAGGCACUACGGUGCUGAAGCAACAAAUGCCCUGCUUCCAGGAAAAGCCUCUAAGCAUCAGGUAACAUCAAAUCGUACCCCAAACCGACACAGGUGGUCAGGUAGAGAAUACCAAGGCGCUUGAGAGAACUCGGGUGAAGGAACUAGGCAAAAUGGUGCCGUAACUUCGGGAGAAGGCACGCUGACACGUAGGUGAAGUGAUUUACUCAUGGAGCUGAAGUCAGUCGAAGAUACCAGCUGGCUGCAACUGUUUAUUAAAAACACAGCACUGUGCAAACACGAAAGUGGACGUAUACGGUGUGACGCCUGCCCGGUGCCGGAAGGUUAAUUGAUGGGGUCAGCGCAAGCGAAGCUCCUGAUCGAAGCCCCGGUAAACGGCGGCCGUAACUAUAACGGUCCUAAGGUAGCGAAAUUCCUUGUCGGGUAAGUUCCGACCUGCACGAAUGGCGUAAUGAUGGCCAGGCUGUCUCCACCCGAGACUCAGUGAAAUUGAACUCGCUGUGAAGAUGCAGUGUACCCGCGGCAAGACGGAAAGACCCCGUGAACCUUUACUAUAGCUUGACACUGAACAUUGAGCCUUGAUGUGUAGGAUAGGUGGGAGGCUUUGAAGUGUGGACGCCAGUCUGCAUGGAGCCGACCUUGAAAUACCACCCUUUAAUGUUUGAUGUUCUAACGUGGACCCGUAAUCCGGGUUGCGGACAGUGUCUGGUGGGUAGUUUGACUGGGGCGGUCUCCUCCUAAAGAGUAACGGAGGAGCACGAAGGUUGGCUAAUCCUGGUCGGACAUCAGGAGGUUAGUGCAAUGGCAUAAGCCAGCUUGACUGCGAGCGUGACGGCGCGAGCAGGUGCGAAAGCAGGUCAUAGUGAUCCGGUGGUUCUGAAUGGAAGGGCCAUCGCUCAACGGAUAAAAGGUACUCCGGGGAUAACAGGCUGAUACCGCCCAAGAGUUCAUAUCGACGGCGGUGUUUGGCACCUCGAUGUCGGCUCAUCACAUCCUGGGGCUGAAGUAGGUCCCAAGGGUAUGGCUGUUCGCCAUUUAAAGUGGUACGCGAGCUGGGUUUAGAACGUCGUGAGACAGUUCGGUCCCUAUCUGCCGUGGGCGCUGGAGAACUGAGGGGGGCUGCUCCUAGUACGAGAGGACCGGAGUGGACGCAUCACUGGUGUUCGGGUUGUCAUGCCAAUGGCACUGCCCGGUAGCUAAAUGCGGAAGAGAUAAGUGCUGAAAGCAUCUAAGCACGAAACUUGCCCCGAGAUGAGUUCUCCCUGAGACUUAGAGUCUCCUGAAGGAACGUUGAAGACGACGACGUUGAUAGGCCGGGUGUGUAAGCGCAGCGAUGCGUUGAGCUAACCGGUACUAAUGAACCGUGAGGCUUAACCUUACAACGCCGA
rnacentral:rRNA from 1 species